AUGAUCAUCUUCUUCCUGACCAUUCAUUUGAACAUCUUCCUGGUUUCAGGCUCCUCUCUCAGUGACAAAGUCUUCCAGGCUCCAUCCAACAUUCACAUCAGACCAGGAGAAGAAGCCAGAAUCAACUGUAGACAUGAAAUUAGCAACUAUAACCAAAUUCUCUGGUACAAGCAGUCAAAUGGACGGAUGCAGCUUCUGGGAUACAUGUUUAUGAGCAGUGGUUAUCCUGAGUCUGAAGUGAAUGUGAAGAUUGAAGGGAGUGCAGAUACAAACCAGAUCUGCACAAUAAUCAUUGAGAAAGUCGACCUGAACAACACUGCAGAGUAUUUCUGUGCUGCUCGUUACACAGGCAGAGAAGCUUACUUUGGUGGAGGAACCAAGUUAACUGUUUUAGAAGAAGGAAGUCCCGUCACACCGCCGAACGUCACAGUUUUCCCACCUUCUAAAAAAGAGUGUGGAGGUCAAGACAAGACAAAAAGGAAGAAGACGAUUGUCUGUGUGGCCACUGGAUUCUACCCGGACCAUGUCAACAUCUACUGGAGCAGUGACACCACGGAUAAAAUCACCUCAGGUGUGGCCACAGACAGCAACGCCGUGCUGGAGAAAGGAGAAAAAGAAGGAAAAAAGACGUACAGGAUCAGCAGCAGGCUGAGGGUUUCUGCAGCAGAGUACAAUAGUGGCACUACUUUCACCUGCCAUGUCGACUUCUUUAAAGGGGAGAAUCAGUGGGAGAAUCAAAAUGCAUCAGUUACUGGAGAAGGAGAAGCUGAUGGAGAGUCCAUGUCCAGGGAGAAAUACCUGAAGAUCACCCAGAGCGCCAAACUCUCCUACACGGUGUUCAUCGUGAAGAGCUGUUUCUACGGAGCCUUCGUGACUUUUCUGGUGCUGAAGCUUCAGAGUGGAAAACAGGAGAAGUGAGAGAAGAGCCGAGGUCCGAUCAGGGAAUUCUGGGAAAUCAGUAGAGUGUUUAUGUCUGUAAAUAAAGUAUUCGAUCAGUUGGGAUGAUAAAUAUUAAUUUUUAUGUCACUGUGCUCACUUUUUCUUCAUCAGCUGUUUACUUACUUUAAAAACUAAAAUGCCUUUUCUUCUCUUAAUUUUAGAAUGAAAAUUUUCCAAUAAAUUGAUGAUAAUAAAUUGUUUUAAGAGUUUUAUUCAUGCAUGUUUACUAUAAUAGUUUUAAAAUAAUGAUCCCUCAGCGGUAUUUUACACUGGAGCACAUAAACACAGGAAACUAAACUAUUCCAGACAUUAAACCUUUAGAAUGAACUAGAAGCAAAUCACAGCUGUUCACUUUGUUCAGCUUAUUGUUUAUUUUAUUAUGUACAUAUUAAAAACUGCUGUGUAUUUUAUUCUCAUGUCUGUUUUUGGAAUGUUUCUGCUAUUAAAAUCUUCAUAUUUUCGUUGCUCUCUAUAAAAUGAACCAAAACUUUGUUUGCAGGACUUUGCAGAGUUGGAAUGUUUUGUGCAGAUUUCUGCUCUGUUUUGAAAAUAUGCAAAAUAAUCUUUCAUGUCAUAUAAAAAUAAAAUAAAACUCUGUAACAACUGUG